GAAUAUGAGGAUUUCUACAUUGGAUAGAAGGUGCCAGAAAGGACUAGGCUUGUGGUCUAAUUACUGGGCUGCCCGGGGAGGGAAACAAGACAUCCUUGCCCUUGAGCCACAAAUAAAAGAGUGUUACAGAGAUGGCAGCCACCCUGAAGAGGGGUUCUCAAACAGUGUCCCCUCAAGUCCUUGGGCCACUAGGGGCCCAAGGACUUG